rnacentral:lncRNA from 1 species
UGCGUGGUUAUAAUUUACUUCAGAUGUGCGCUUCCCAAGUUGGUGCGCGCACUUAAUUGGGAGGAAAACUUUCCUUAUCGUCUGUCCAGGCUUUCCUUUACGACAUGACAUUUUCAACUUCAUAAUAAUGAUAUCGACAUUUGAAGAUUUGUGCUGCAUAAGUUUGAGUCCUUUAAAUUUCAAGUUACCUGGAACACUUUGUGCUUUUCUUGUGUAGUCUUUUCUUUUCAUAACUCUUUUUGUAUUUACUGGACA